rnacentral:rRNA from 1 species
GAUGAACGCUGGCGGCGUGCCUAAUACAUGCAAGUCGAGCGAACAGACGAGGAGCUUGCUCCUCUGACGUUAGCGGCGGACGGGUGAGUAACACGUGGAUAACCUACCUAUAAGACUGGGAUAACUUCGGGAAACCGGAGCUAAUACCGGAUAAUAUAUUGAACCGCAUGGUUCAAUAGUGAAAGACGGUUUUGCUGUCACUUAUAGAUGGAUCCGCGCCGCAUUAGCUAGUUGGUAAGGUAACGGCUUACCAAGGCAACGAUGCGUAGCCGACCUGAGAGGAUGACAGACAAAACUAAAAAGAAACCACGCUCAAAACACCAAGGGAAGGCACAAGAAGGAAAUCUCCAGAAAUGGCCAAAACCCAAAAAAAGAAACGCGGAGGGAUGAAAAAGGUUCUACGAAUCUAAAAACUCUUUUAUAGGAAAAAAAAAAAGAUAAAAAAAAAAAGGCAUGUUUGAACGUAACAAAAUAAAAAACACACGACAAAAUACGCC